GUGGGGAAUAUUGGACAAUGGGCGCAAGCCUGAUCCAGCAAUGCCGCGUGGGUGAAGAAGGUCUUCGGAUUGUAAAGCCCUUUCGGCGGGGACGAUGGUGACGGUACCCGCAGAAGAAGCCCCGGCCAACUUCGUGCCAGCAGCCGCGGUAAUACGAAGGGGGCUAGCGUUGCUCGGAAUCACUGGGCGUAAAGGGCGCGUAGGCGGCGGAUCCAGUCGGGCGUGAAAUCCCUGGGCUCAACCCGGGGGCUGCGCCCGAUACGGUUCUGCUGGAGGACGGGAGAGGCUCGCGGAAUUCCCAGUGUAGAGGUGAAAUUCGUAGAUAUUGGGAAGAACACCGGUGGCGAAGGCGGCGAGCUGGCCCGUUUCUGACGCUGAGGCGCGACAGCGUGGGGAGCAAACAGGAUUAGAAACCCCAGUAGUCC
rnacentral:rRNA from 1 species